rnacentral:rRNA from 1 species
GACGUAGGGCGCGAGCGUUGUCCGGAUUUAUUGGGCGUAAAGAGCUCGUAGGCGGCUUGUCGCGUCGUCCGUGAAAACCUGCGGCUCAACUGCAGGCUGGCGGUCGAUACGGGCAGGCUGGAGUUCGGUAGGGGAGACUGGAAUUCCUGGUGUAGCGGUGAAAUGCGCAGAUAUCAAGUGGAACACCAGUGGCGAAGGCGAGUCUCUGGACAUUUCCUGACGCUGAGGCACGAAAGCCAGGGGAGCAAACGGG